UCGAGAAUAAUUCACAAUGGGCGAAAGCCUGAUGGUGCAACGCCGCGUGGAGGAUGACGGUCUUCGGAUUGUAAACUCCUGUCAUCAGGGAGUAAGACCUGGGUGUUAAUAGCACACAGGGUUGAUAGUACCUGAAGAGGAAGGGACGGCUAACUUCGUGCCAGCAGCCGCGGUAAUACGAAGGUCCCAAGCGUUGUUCGGAUUCACUGGGCGUAAAGGGAGCGUAGGCUGUGCGGUAAGUCAGAUGUGAAAUCCCGGGGCUCAACCCCGGAACUGCAUCCGAUACUGCCGUACUAGAGUAUUGGAGAGGUAACAGGAAUUCACGGUGUAGCAGUGAAAUGCGUAGAUAUCGUGAGGAAGACCAAUGGCGAAAGCAUGUUACUGGACAAUCACUGACGCUGAGGCUCGAAGGCCAGGGUAGCGAAAGGG
rnacentral:rRNA from 1 species